AUGUGUCUGGUUGUACGCGCGGGCGAGGAACCGAGCAAGCGAGCACCUAUCGACCACUUCCCAGUCUCCCCCUCCCCCGAUUCCCAAUUCCCAAACCUAGCGGCCGGCGCCACGGCGGCGGGCGACGCGUGGGCGGCGGAGAAUCCAGGUCCGGCCGGCCCUCUCCUUCCCUCCCCUCGGCAGUACUGCCCCUCCAGCCUCGGCCUCCGGGCUCUGGUAGUCCAGGUCCACCCCUCCCCUCCCCGAACUGCAUCUGCACAGCUCCAGCGCUCCACCAAGAUGAAGAAGAAAGAUGUUAGCUUGUUUGAAUUGUGGGACAAAUCUUCAAAGGCAAGGAAAAUAAGUUCUACAUCCACACCAACUGCUCUUUCCGUUGAGGUUGAGAGCAACCUGCAGAACAUGAUGAAGCUGUUGAUGAAGAUGAUGAACCAAGUCCACAAUUCGAAGCAGAUUUGGUGGCUCUGGAACGUGAUCGUGGCAAGAAAUUUUGAUGAGGUUGACAUGGUUGUUCUCAAGAAUGCUCCACGGAAUUGCAAGAUGACUCACCAUGAUAUACAACAAGUGAUAAAAUGUUGUGCACAAGAGACUACUAAACUAGUCAUUGAAGAACUUGAUGGUGGUCAUUUUGCAAUACUUGCAGAUGAGUCUAGUGAUCAGCUUGCACACUUGUUAAAUGCUCUUGGCAUGUCUUGUAAAAAGAUGAGAAUUCUUCGGAUAGCUCAGGCUGAAGAACUCAUUGAUGCACUGGAAUUGGAAGAAGUAGAAAUAGGGAGUGGGCUGAAUCAGGAAAUGGGUUUGGGAAGGCCAUGUGCUACAAGUUGGGGCUCUUACAUCAAAACUGUGAACCAUGUGAAGAAUAAGCUAAGGAACAAAAUGGGUGAUGAAUAUUUGAACAAUUGUUUGGUUACAUUUGUUGAGAGAGAAUUUUUCAAUCAAGUGAAGGGUGAAGAUGUCAUCAAUCUCUUCCAGAAAGGCGACCGCAAAUUUAUAUUGUAA
rnacentral:rRNA from 1 species